rnacentral:rRNA from 1 species
AUUGAACGCUGGCGGCAUGCCUUACACAUGCAAGUCGAACGCGAAAGGGGGGCAACCCCCGAGUAGAGUGGCGGACGGGUGAGUAAUACAUCGGAACGUACCCAGUAGUGGGGGACAACCUCGAGAAAUCGAGGCUAAUACCGCAUACGACCCACGGGUGAAAGCGGGGGACCGCAAGGCCUCGCGCUAUUGGAGCGGCCGAUGUCCGAUUAGCUAGUUGGUGGGGUAAGAGCCCACCAAGGCGACGAUCGGUAGCUGGUCUGAGAGGACGACCAGCCACACGGGGACUGAGACACGGCCCAGACUCCUACGGGAGGCAGCGGUGGGGAAUUUUGGACAAUGGGGGCAACCCUGAUCCAGCCAUGCCGCGUGCGGGAAGAAGGCCUUCGGGUUGUAAACCGCUUUCGGCCGGAACGAAAUCGCCGGGGAGAACAUCCCCGGUGGAUGACGGUACCGGAAGAAGAAGCACCGGCUAACUACGUGCCAGCCGCCGCCGUAAAAC